rnacentral:rRNA from 1 species
UACGUAGGGUCCGAGCGUUGUCCGGAAUUACUGGGCGUAAAGAGCUCGUAGGUGGUUUGUCACGUUGUUCGUGAAAACCCACAGCUCAACUGUGGGCGUGCGAGCGAUACGGGCAGACUAGAAUGAUGUAGGGGAGACUGGAAUUCCUGGUGUAGCGGUGAAAUGCGCAGAUAUCAGGAGGAACACCGAUGGCGAAGGCAGGUCUCUGGGCAUUAACUGACGCUGAGGAGCGAAAGCAUGGGGAGCGAACAGG